rnacentral:rRNA from 1 species
UCUGGCCUCAAAUCAGGUAGGGCUACCCGCUGAACUUAAGCAUAUCAAUAAGCGGAGGAAAAGAAACUAACUAGGAUUCCCUUAGUAACGGCGAGUGAACCGGGAUGAGCUCAAAUUUGAAAUCUGGCGUCUUUCAGGCGUCCGAGUUGUAAUCUAUAGAGGCGUUUUCCGCGCCGGACCGCGUCCAAGUCUCUUGGAAUAGAGUAUCAAAGAGGGUGACAAUCCCGUACUUGACGCGACAACCGGUGCUCUGUGAUACGUUCUCAAUGAGUCGAGUUGUUUGGGAAUGCAGCUCUAAAUGGGUGGUAAAUUCCAUCUAAGGCUAAAUAUUGGCGAGAGACCGAUAGCGAACAAGUACCGUGAGGGAAAGAUGAAAAGCACUUUGGAAAGAGAGUUAAACAGCACGUGAAAUUGUUAAAAGGGAAACGAUUGAAGUCAGUCGUGUGGGAAGUAUUCAGCCGUCUCUGGCGGUGUAUUUGCUUCUCACGGGUCAACAUCAGUUUGAUCCGGUAGAAAAAGGCGGGAAGAAGGUGGCACCCUCGGGUGUGUUAUAGCUUCCUGUCAUAUGUGCCGGACCAGACUGAGGAACGCAGCUUGCAGCAAUGCCGGGGUUCGCCCACGUACAAGCUAGGAUGUGAC